rnacentral:tRNA from 1 species
GCCGGGAUAGCUCAGUUGGUAGAGCAGGGGACUGAAAAUCCCCGUGUCGGCGGUUCAAUUCCGUCUCCCGGCACCA